CCUACGGGGGGCAGCAGUGAGGAAUAUUGGUCAAUGGACGAGAGUCUGAACCAGCCAAGUAGCGUGAAGGAUGACUGCCCUAUGGGUUGUAAACUUCUUUUAUAUGGGAAUAAAACAGGGUAUGCAUACCCUCUGGUAUGUACCAUAUGAAUAAGGAUCGGCUAACUCCGUGCCAGCAGCCGCGGUAAUACGGAGGAUCCGAGCGUUAUCCGGAUUUAUUGGGUUUAAAGGGAGCGUAGGCCGGCUUUUAAGUCAGCUGUGAAAGUCCGCGGCUCAACCGUGGAAUUGCAGUUGAAACUGGAGGCCUUUAGUGCACACAGGGAUGCCGGAAUUCAUGGUGUAGCGGUGCAAUGCUUAGAUAUCAUGAAGAACUCCGAUCGCGAAGGCAAGUGUCCGGGGUGCAACUGACGCUGAGGCUCGAAAGUGCGGGUAUCAAACAGGAUUAGAUACCCUGGUAGUC
rnacentral:rRNA from 1 species